rnacentral:rRNA from 1 species
AACGAACGCUGGCGGCAGGCCUUAGCCAUGCAAGUCGAACGAGAAAGUCCUUCGGGAAUGAGUAAAGUGGCGAACGGGUGAGUAACACGUGGGAACCUACCUUGAAGUACGGAACAACCAUUGGAAACGAUGGCUAAUACCGUAUAAUCCCUCCGGGGGAAAGAUUUAUCGCUUUAAGAUGGGCCCGCGCCUGAUUAGCUUGUUGGUAAGGUAAUGGCUUACCAAGGCAACGAUCAGUAGCUGGUUUGAGAGGAUGAUCAGCCACACUGGGACUGAGACACGGCCCAGACUCCUACGGGAGGCAGCAGUUAGGAAUAUUGGACAAUGGGGGAAACCCUGAUCCAGCCAUGCCGCGUGAGUGAAGAAGGCCUUCGGGUUGUAAAGCUCUUUCGCUUGUGAAGAUGAUGACUGUAGCAAGUAAAGAAGCACCGGCUAACUUCGUGCCAGCAGCCGCGGUAAUACGAAGGGUGCAAGCGUUGUUCGGAAUUACUGGGCGUAAAGCGCAUGUAGGCGGUUUGUUAAGUUAGAGGUGAAAUCCCAGGGCUCAACCUUGGAAUUGCCUUUAAGACUGGCAAACUCGAGUCUAAGAGAGGAUAGCGGAAUACCUAGUGUAGAGGUGAAGUUCGUAGAUAUUAGGUAGAACACCAGUGGCGUAGGCGGCUAUCUGGCUUAUGACUGACGCUGAGAUGCGAAAGCGUGGGGAGCGAACAGGAUUAGAUACCCUGGUAGUCCACGCCGUAAACGAUGUGUGCUGGUUGUUGGUCCCGCUCUAGGGGCUUGUGACUGAGCUAACGCGUUAAGCACACCGCCUGGGGAGUACGGUCGCAAGAUUAAAACUCAAAGGAAUUGACGGGGACCCGCACAAGCGGUGGAGCAUGUUGUUUAAUUCGAUGCCACGCGCAAAACCUUACCAGCCCUUGACAUCCUGGUCGGGUGGAAUGGAGACAUUCUACUUCAUUUAGUUGGACCAGUGACAGAUGAUGCACGGCUGUCGUCAGCUCGUGUCGUGAGAUGUUGGGUUAAGUCCCGCAACGAGCGCAACCCUUAUCUUUAGUUGCCAUCAGGUUAUGCUGGGCACUCUAGAGAGACUGCCGGUGUUAAACCGGAGGAAGGUGGGGAUGACGUCUAGUCAUCAUGUCUCUUACGGGCUGGGCUACAAACGUGCUACAAUGGCGGUUACAGAGGGAAGCUACCUCGCGAGAGGAUGCCAAUCUUCAAAAACCGCCUCAGUUCAGAUUGCACUCUGCAACUCGAGUGCAUGAAGUUGGAAUCGCUAGUAAUCGCGGAUCAGCAUGCCGCGGUGAAUACGUUCCCGGGUCUUGUACACACCGCCCGUCACACCAUGGGAGUUGGCUUAACCCGAAGACGGUUCUCUAACCUCGUGAGGAGGCCGGCCACGGUUGGUCAGCGACUGGGGUGAAGU